GUUUGUAUCACUUAUUUUUUAAAAAUAGUAAAAAUUUUAACUAGCGGAUGUGUAUAGUUCAAGACAUAGACAAGUUAAUAAAGAAGACUUAGGAACCGAUAAAUAGUGUGUAUUGUUUUGAGAAAGACAUUUAGUGAAAACGCGUUUAAAGUUUCAGCUUCGGUCGAGCUAAACUUUUAAAAUAUAAAUUUAAAAAAAAUUUCUUAUUUCUAGUCUAGAAUACCCCCUUAAGUUACAUAUAAAUAUGUUCUUAAAUUCUUAAAACAAUUGAUACAGUAAUUGUUUUUUAACUCAGAUCUUAAUUUUAUUAAAUAUCGUAAAUAUUUUUUAUUAAAUAACAAAUUUUGUCUUGUCACUUUUGACAGCAAUUUGACAUUCGAGUCAUGGCAACGUUACAGCAAUUGAUUGAGGGUUUUCACACUUAUGUAAUUUUUUCGUCCAAAGCGCAACGCGCAAAGUUAGCAUACCGAGUAGUGGUGAAUCGAAGAUAGCUAUUAAGCUAUUUGAACGUUUUGAGUUGUGACACUCUUUUAGUGAGCAAGCGAUAUGUAGAUUUACAAAAUAAGAAUUGAAAAUUCACAACUAAUAUCAUGAAUACAUACAUAUGUCGUAUAUCUUUCUAUACAAAAACAAAACAAAACGAAAAACAAAAAAUGUAAGUCAUUAUAUACACAUUUAUAUAUAGUUCAUACAUACAUAUAUACAUCUUUAUGUGAGUAUUUAUGUAUGUACAUACAAUAGCUUUGAAAUGUAAAUGAUCACUAAAACACACUUCAUAAAAAAAUCAAAUUUAUCAAUAUUAUAUUUUUGCAUAAUUUGUUGUUAACUUAAUGAAAAUUUAUAUUAGUAACUAAUUUUAAUAAUUAUUUAAACAAAAAGCGCAUUUAAGUGUUAAAUUAAUUAAUAUUUUCAUAUGUGUUUUGAAGAACUAAGGAGCUAUAUAUAAACAUAGCGUAACUUACGUUGUCUUCAAAAAUAUGUUUUUUUUUUAAGGCAAGGGCUGUUGCGAGUUUACUUAAAUUUAUAUUUGAAUGUCAUUAACAUUUUGAUGCGUUUCUUGCGUUGGAGGAAUGCUGCUUUGCUGAGGUGCAUAAGUUGUUUCGAUUUUGUUUUUUUUUUUUAAAUGUUUAAGGUCGCAAAUAUUAUAUAAAUUUUAGUUUAGCUUUUAUAUUAUUUAUUUUAAUUUAAUAUUAUUUAUUUUAAUUCAAUAUUAUUUAUUUUAAUUAUAUUAACUGUAUUUAAAAAAUAUAUAUAUUUUGUUUAAAAGCAUAUCGAAUUUUAAUCCAUUUAUAAUUCAUUCUGUAUAUAUUUCUUAAACAAACACAUUUAUUUUUCAAGUGUGUAUGAAUAUACAUUAGCUUAAAGCUUUACGAUUUUAAGUGAUUAGGCCAGUCUAGAGCUCUAAGAAAGGUAUAACUUUGACUAGACUUCCGUAACCCAUAGGUACACCAAAGGUUUAUUAUGAGUUAAAACUCAACCAUAUCCUAAAAUAAAAUAUAACCCCUUACUUACAAAAUUCUUUUGUUUUGGAGAUAUGCUUAUGCCAUACAGUAUAUUCCAUUUUCUUAGUUUUUGUACGAAUUUAUUUUUUUUUAAACAAUAAAAGUUUUGAAGGUAUAUAACCACUAACAAAUUGGUAUAUAACCACUAACUAAUUGGUAUAUAACCACUAACAAAUUGGUAUAUAACCACUAACAAAUUGGUAUAUAACCGCUAACAAAUUGGUAUAUAACCGCUAACAAAUUGGUAUAUAACCACUAACAAAUCUGUAUAUAACCACUAACAAGUUAGUAUAUAACCGCAAACAAAUCGGUAUAUAACCGCAAACAAAUUGGUAUAUAACCACUAACCAUUAAUUGGUAUAUAACCAUUAACUAGUUGGUAUAUAACCACUAACAAAUUGGUAUAUAACCACUAACUAAUUGGUACAUAACCAUUAACUACUUGGUAUAUAACCACUAAAUAAUUGGCAUAUAACCACUAACUAAUUGGUAUAUAAUCACAACACUUACUUUUUGAUAUACAAUUGAUUUGUUGAUUUGGUUGUUGAUUUGUAUUACCACUAGCCAAGAUGCUGCAUCCAAAAGCUUUUCAUAGAGGGCUAGCAAAUUCUUAAAUUCUUCAUAAUUUUCAUCAUUACAGCAUAUUUCUGGCAUGUGCCGUUCAUUUUAGAAGUUUCCGUUAUUUGAUAAAGAUUAAAAAUGACAACGAUGAUAACUUUUACUACACAAAUUAUUAUAUUUGUGUACUCUGCUGUUUAUUGCGUUAUUGACAACAUAGUAUCUUCCAGGAAUUGCUUGACAAUUAACGUAAACAAACCGAGAUAUGUAUAGUAUGUACAUAUAUAAUUGUUUAUCAUACGAAAAUAAGAACUUCAUACAAAUAUUAAUGUUAUAAUAACUACAUACACACAUAAAAGCAAGAUUUUUUAGUAAUUGAAAUGUGAGCUUUCACAGUUUAUUUUUGAGAUCUUGUUGUUGUCACUAAGUAAGUAACAAAUGUGUUAGCUUAUAAAGAAGAGUGCAUAGCUACUAAUUCAAGUUUAGUCAAAAUUAAAAAUACAAUUUUAACAGGAAGCUUUACUCGUUUAUACCACUCAGUAUUUCGCCAAGCAGCUUAAGCAUGAAAACUCUUAGGAUUGUACGAGUUUUCAGAUGACUAAAUCCAACUCGCUCAAGGCUACAGAAAAAGCUGUAAAGGCGUAAUGAGUUGAUAACUUUUUCUGAUAUUUUCUGUAGGGUUUUUUAACGUUUGUUUGUGAAAGCUUUCACUAAGCUAAAGUCGUGAAAGCUUAUUAUUUAUUUAUUUGAUUAAUUUUGUUUUUGUUUAUUACAUUAAAAUUUCAAGUUUUGUAUGGCAAACAUUUUUAAAACGCUUUAAAAAGCUUAUAAGAGAUACAAAAAUGAAAGCUUUCACUAACUAAGAGAAAAAGCUGUAAAGGCACAUUAAGUUGACAAUUUUAUACAAUAAAUUCGGUAAUUUUUUUAAACAUAGCUUUAUGAAAGCUUUCACUCAGCUUAUUACUCAUUUAUUUAUAGGUCAAACGAGUAAUUUCGAAUAAGUAAGAAAGAAUAAGCAAAUGAAGAAAAAUUAUCAUUGUAUUGAAAUUACACACUUUUUUGCAGAAGUUAUGAAGCGCUUUAAAAAGCUUACAAGAGAUACAAAAAUGAAAGCUUUCACUAACUAUGAGAAAAAGCUGUAAAGGCAUAUUAAGUUCAUAAUUUUUUCCACUACACUCGGUGAGUCUUUUUUAACGAUUGUUUAUUAAAACUUUCACUAGGCCAGGUCGCAAAAGCUUAUUAUUUAUUGCUUAUGGGUCAAAUGAGUAGUAAACAAAGAAAGGAAAAAAACUUUUGAAGUCAAAUAAAGUAUUCCAUUGAAAUUUAUGACUUCUUGUAGCAAAAGUUAGAAAAGAUAUAAAAAUUAAAGCUUUCAUUAGCCUAGAAGAAAAGGCUGACAACUUUUUCCGAUAUAUUCUUUUGUUUUUAUAAGAAUGGUUUAUGUAAGCUGUUACUAAGCAAAUUCAGUAUUCCAUUAAAUCUUCACAUAUCUGAUGGCAAAAGUUUUGAAAAGCUUUAAAAAGCUUAUAAGAGAUAUUAGAAUAAAAGCUCUCGCUAGCCUCGAAAAUAAGCUGUAAAACUUAAUUAUUUUAUGGCAAAAGUUUUGAAAAGUUUUAAAAAGCUUACAAGAGUUAUAAGAAUUUUGAUAGUAGCAAAAACAAGCUGUAAAACUUCACGUAUUUCCUGGUAAAAAUUUGAGAACGCUUUGAAUAGCUGACGAAAGAGAUAAGAAUGAAAGCUUUCGUAAGUUGAAGCUGUAAAUCUUCCUUUAUCAUGGCAAAAUUUUUAAAACGCUUUAAAAAGCUUAGAAGAGAGAUAAAAAUGAAAGCUUUCGCAUGUCUCGAAACUAAGCUGUAAAGACACAUUAAGUUGGUAACUUUUUUCGAUAUAUUCGGAAAGCUUUUUAAAAUUCGCCUAUGAAAGCUUUGACUAAGCAAAGUCGUGAAAGCUUUUUAUUUUAUGAUCGUUUUUAAUUUUCAGUUUCUUGGCAUGAUAUUGAUUAAUUAUUUGAAAACAAAAAUAUCCUCUAAACGUAUCUAUUCUAUUUUAUUUUAGGAAUGAAAUCCUUGAACCUAUUUCUCAACAUCGUAAUGCUUCGUUUCCUUCGUAUUUUAUUUAUAUUUUGUCAAAACACAUUUAAAGCAAUAAUUUCACACUAAACGUAGUUUAAAUUAUACAUAUACAUAUAUACAUAUGUACAUACUUACUUAGAUAAGUAUGUGUACAUACAACUGUAGUUUCUUGUAUUUACUUGUAGUAGAUGUGCGUUCCAACAUUAGAUCAAAUAUACAUACAUACAUAUAUUUAUAAAAGAAAAUUUAAUGCGAAAAAAGUACAGCCAAAACUAAACAAGAACUAAUACCCACUACGAAAUUCCCAAAAAGUGACUAUUUAAAAACAAUACUGAUAAAAAAUAAUAGCAAACAAACAAAAUACAUACAUACAUGUAUUAUAUAUACAUAUAUAAAUAAAGACAAAAUACAACUGGGCGUCAAGUACUAUAGUAAAUUAUAUGAAAUUGUAAAUUUUUCGCUGAAUGACAAGUACUCACGCAUACAUUUAUAAAUACUUUAGUAUUGUAAAAUUAUACUUGUUCAGUUGAUAUUAUUAUUGCAUAUAUGAGAAUAAAGAAUAUACAUAUAAAAGAUAAAUUGGUGAAAUUGAAAACAAAAUAA